AGUGAACGCUGGCGGUGGGCCUAACACAUGCAAGUCGAACGGACGCACAGUAAGAGCUUGCCUCUACGGGUGGCGAGUGACGGACGGGUGAGGAAUACAUCGGAAACUACUUUUUCGGGGGGGACAACGGAGGGAAACUUACGCUAACAGCGCAUAUGUUCUACGGGUGAAAGCAGGGGAUCAUCGCACCUUGCGUGACUGUAAGAGCUGAAGUCGGAUUAGCUAGUUGGCGAGGUAAAGGCCCACCAAGGCGACGAUGCGUAGCUGAUCUGAGAGGAUGAUCGGCCACACUGGAACUGAGACACGGUCCAGACUCCUACGGGAGGCAGCAGUAGGGAAUAUUCCGCAAUGGGCGAAAGCCUGAUGCAGCCAUACCGCGUGAGUGAUGAAGGCCUUCGGAUCGUAAAGCCCUGUUAUUAGGAAAGAAAAACAGCGUAUGUAUCCCCGGCUGUUCUGACGGUACCCAAAGAAUAAGCACCGGCUAACUACGUG
rnacentral:rRNA from 1 species